rnacentral:rRNA from 1 species
UGAGGAAUAUUGCACAAUGGACGCAAGUCUGAUGCAGCAACGCCGCGUGGAGGAUGAAGGUCUUUGGAUUGUAAACUCCUUUUUUCAGGGAAGAGUGAGGACGGUACCUGAAGAAUAAGUCACGGCUAACUACGUGCCAGCAGCCGCGGUAAUACGUAGGUGGCAAGCGUUAUCCGGAAUUACUGGGCGUAAAGCGCACGCAGGCGGCUCUUUAAGUUUGACGUGAAAGCUCCCGGCUUAACUGGGAGAGGUCGUUGAAGACUGGAGGGCUUGAGGCAAGGAGAGGGGUGUAGAAUUCCCGGUGUAGUGGUGGAAUGCGUAGAUAUCGGGGGGAAUACCAGUGGCGAAAGCGGCACCCUAGCCUUAGCCUGACGCUCAGGUGCGAAAGCGUGGGGAGCGAACGG